UGCGGUUAAACAAAUAAUGCUACUGUUUUUUUUCGGUUAUAUUUAAUUAAUAAAAAAUUAAUUUAUAUUUUGGUGAAAUAUUGGGUGAAAUCCUAUUUUCUAUUUAGUUGAAUUAUUGAUUAUGAGGUUAAGAAAUCUAGCGGAUAAACUGGGAUUAGAUACCCCAUUAUUCUAGAUGUCGAUAUUUUAAGCCUGAUGAAUAUAAGUUAUGUUCUUUAAAAUCAAAAAAUUUGGCGGUUUUUUAUUCCAAUCAGGGGAAUCUGUCCUUUAAUCGAUAACCCACGAUUAAUAAAACUUUUAUUUUGCUUGUAUAUCGUCGUUGUUAAUUAUUUUUGGAAAUAUAUAAUUUGAAUAUAUGAUUGUAUAAAAAAUCAGAUCAAGGUGCAGCUUAUAUAAGUAGAGAUGGAUUACAUUAAAUUUAUUUUAGGAUUGAUUCCAGCAUUAGAAUCAAAAAUUUGGAUUUGAAUGUAAUUUUAAUUAUUAAUUAAGAUGAAUUGGGCUCUAAAAUGUGU
rnacentral:rRNA from 1 species